AUGUCACAGCACGAAAUGAAUUAUUCAAGGAUGGAAACUAUUCAAGGAUGGAAAUUCUGGAAUUCGCCGAGACGGACUGAAUGCUGGAAGGACACUAAUCAGCACCAGAUGAAGGGCCGGCGGAGCGCAGAUUUUGCGGCGGCCUUUGUCAGCAGGCUUCCUCAGAGCGGAGCCUCUUUCGUCCCCAGAGGCGGCAGAGGAAGUGUGCGCGGCCCCGGGGAGCAUGGAGGGGUCUGGAUGCACACGGGGCGCUGGGGGGCUGGGGUGUGUGCUGCCCGGAUCUGGGGUCUGGACGCAUGCGGGGUGCUGGGGGGCUGGGGUGUGUGCUGCCAUUCAGAGCUUGAUGUCCGCCAGCCGGGGUUGACUCUCCCUUUAUGGGCACAGGGCCUUGUCCCUAAAACAAGGGCAGGAAGAAAGGCCAGCUGUCCUCCCCUGGGACAGACGCCCUCCAAUGUGCCGAGCACAGUCUGCCUGCUGUCUGAGGUGGCCAAUGCCCACCUCCCUGCAAACGGGGGCCAGCCUGGUGCUGCGUUCACACCUGCGUCUGAGCGAGCCGCCUCCGGCCCCACACCUCCCGGCACACCGCCACCACCUCCCCUCGCUGCUCACAAACAGGACACGGGCACGUCCUUGUGCUCCGGGCACCGCCUGAGAUUUAAUUCUGAAUUUACACGGGAUGGGGCAUCACAUCACACCGGGCAACCGUUCUCGAUACAUCUGCGAGCAAAGCACAGUUCCUUGUCUCCCCGCGAGAGCUCCGGGGGGCUCUGGGGACCCUCAGGAGCAGCCCCAGGAUACACAUCACUACCAAAGAAGAAGUACAGUACCCGUUUCUGUAUAAGAAUAUAUUAUUUAAAAGACAGUUUAAAAAUAAAAAUUCUGUACAGCAUCAUGAAUUCCUUUUUUUUUUUUUUUGUAUCAGUGAACAAAACAGUUCUUAGAAAACGCGGUUUUGUGGAGUCGGGCGCGGAGUCAACCUCCCUGCGUGGAUGGCUCCCCCGAGGCUCAGCCCGCCUGGUCCAGGACCGCGGCCCGUGA
rnacentral:lncRNA from 12 species